UAGGGAAUCUUCGGCAAUGGACGAAAGUCUGACCGAGCAACGCCGCGUGAGUGAAGAAGGUUUUCGGAUCGUAAAACUCUGUUGUUAGAGAAGAACAAGGACGUUAGUAACUGAACGUCCCCUGACGGUAUCUAACCAGAAAGCCACGGCUAACUACGUGCCAGCAGCCGCGGUAAUACGUAGGUGGCAAGCGUUGUCCGGAUUUAUUGGGCGUAAAGCGAGCGCAGGCGGUUUCUUAAGUCUGAUGGGAAAGCCCCCGGCGCAACCGGGGAGGGUCAUUGGAAACUGGGAGACGUGAGUGGAGAAGAGGGGAGUGGAAUUCCAUGUGUAGCGGUGAAAUGCGUAGAUAUAUGGAGGAACACCAGUGGCGAAGGCGGCUCUCUGGUCUGUAACUGACGCUGAGGCUCGAAAGCGUGGGGAGCAAACAGG
rnacentral:rRNA from 1 species